UUGAAAUCUGGUACCUUCGGUGCCCGAGUUGUAAUUUGGAGAGGGCAACUUUGGGGCCGUUCCUUGUCUAUGUUCCUUGGAACAGGACGUCAUAGAGGGUGAGAAUCCCGUGUGGCGAGGAGUGCGGUUCUUUGUAAAGUGCCUUCGAAGAGUCGAGUUGUUUGGGAAUGCAGCUCUAAGUGGGUGGUAAAUUCCAUCUAAAGCUAAAUAUUGGCGAGAGACCGAUAGCGAACAAGUACAGUGAUGGAAAGAUGAAAAGAACUUUGAAAAGAGAGUGAAAAAGUACGUGAAAUUGUUGAAAGGGAAGGGCAUUUGAUCAGACAUGGUGUUUUGUGCCCUCUGCUCCUUGUGGGUAGGGGAAUCUCGCAUUUCACUGGGCCAGCAUCAGUUUUGGUGGCAGGAUAAAUCCAUAGGAAUGUAGCUUGCCUCGGUAAGUAUUAUAGCCUGUGGGAAUACUGCCAGCUGGGACUGAGGACUGCGACGUAAGUCAAGGAUGCUGGCAUAAUGGUUAUAUGCCGCCCGUCUGA
rnacentral:rRNA from 1 species